rnacentral:snRNA from 1 species
GGGUCCAGCGGCUGGAAGAGCAC